AUCGUGCUAUGGAUGAAGCCUUCGUCAAAGAGGUGAUAGUGUUGAUAGUGACACUGCUGCUCUCGUACCUGGAGACCUGCUACGGUUGUUCGAGACACCAGUACGUUGAUUGCAACGAGAACAGUCCCAAGUGCGAUAAGAAAUCAACAUAGGAAGCUAAUUUAUUGAAAAUUUAACGCAAUUUAUACAUUCCAAAAUCUUCUAAAAAGAUGCAGUAUCUUAACGAGUUCGUGCUGGUUUUCAUUCACAUCGCCGUGUGUGUGUUCGAGGUAACUCGCGGCUGCAGACGAGACAGGAGGCACUGUAAAGAUGGCGGCUGUUACCCUUGUAACCAAUUCGGUGGACCGAAAGUGCGCGCUAAGAUCGGAAUGAAGUGAAAUACUUCAAUAAAUACAUAAGAUGCGCGUUAAAAGCAUCAUAUUACUUCUCCUGCUGUUGCUGUCUCUCGUGCUCGGCUGUCGGCGGAAGCGUCGUCAAAAAUAUUGCAUUCCUUGCAAAUAUAAGGGUCCUAUCAUUGAAGUCAUAUAUCCAAAGCAAAAAAAAAGAAUGAUAAUACAGCAGUGAUUUAAUAUAAUGAAAAAAAAAACACGUGAAAGUAACACACUGUUUGAAAAUAAAUAACUUUGAAAUUAU